rnacentral:misc_RNA from 1 species
AGCCGCGGUAAUUCCAGCUCCAAUAGCGUAUAUUAAAGUUGUUGCAGUUAAAAAGCUCGUAGUUGAAUUUCGGGAUUGACGUGACGGUCAUGCCUUAAGGGGUAUGAACUGUUACAGUUGAUUUCUCACCUUCUGGAGAAACUUGAUGUCCUUUAUUGGGUGUCUUGCGGAUCCAGGACCUUUACCUUGAAAAAAUUAGAGUGUUUAAAGCAGGCAUUUUUGCUCGAAUACAUUAGCAUGGAAUAAUAGAAUAGGACGGCAUGGUUCUAUUUUGUUGGUUUCUAGGAUCACCGUAAUGAUUAAUAGGGAUAGUUGGGGGCAUUAGUAUUCAAUUGUCAGAGGUGAAAUUCUUGGAUUUAUUGAAGACUAACUACUGCGAAAGCAUUUGCCAAGGAUGUUUUCAUUAAUCAAGAACGAAAGUUAGGGGAUCGAAGACGAUCAGAUACCGUCGUAGUCUUAACCAUAAACUAUGCCGACUAGGAAUCAGACGAUGUUAAUUUUUUAAUGACUCGUUUGGCACCUUACA